CCUGCACACCAUACGUGGAAUCCUAAUUUUUUUUUUUUUUUUUUAAAAAAAAAGGCAAAACGUGCGUAUUAGUCGGGGUCCUACGGGUUGCUUAAUACAUUUCGAAAUCCUCCCGCGAAAGCCCUCGUUCGUCGCCCGCGUGACAGGUUCCUCCGCCCAGCACCACCGGCGACGCCGUAGCUCCGCCCAGAAACAUCGAGCACAGUAUUUCGUGUGUACAGAGCUGCCGGUCGUUGGGAAACCAAAUAACAGAGCAAGCUGACAGUUUCUUGAAUCUGCGAAGACCCCCUUCCCUCGCCGGCGCCACCGCUGCUCAUACGAAGCUUCGAAGUGCUGCUCUUAGAGAUUGUCAGCGGGUGGCCUGCCGUGGAUUUCCGCGUUGACUAUAAGGAACAGCUGCUAGUUCAGAAGUGUAAUGGGGGAAGAGGAAGAUAGAAUGGCACCCAGGCCUUCAACGUCGACUUCACAACCAGUUUACACGCAUCAAUUCGAAUUUGGAAGUCCAAACUUAGACCAUCAUCCUCACCAUAUGCCCUACCCUCUGGCGAGUAAUCUAGACGAUUUUAUUAGAGAUAAAGAUUCAUUCCGGAUGCCCACUUAUACUCAGUACCAGUCCUCGAGUAAUCCGGAGGACUUGAGGCAAGAAACGCCCCCCGCGUCAAUUACACCAAAUAGUGAUGAAUUUGAAGAAAAUGUUGGAAUUUGUCAUGAU